CGGCACGGGUGAGUAACACGUAGGUAAUGUACCUUUGGGUGGGGAAUAACUUAGGGAAACUUAAGCUAAUACCGCAUAAUGCAGCGGCUUCUUCGGAAGACAGUGUUAAAGAUUUAUCGCCUAAAGAGCAGCCUGCGGCAGAUUAGCUAGUUGGUAAGGUAACGGCUUACCAAGGCUACGAUCUGUAUCCGACCUGAGAGGGUGGUCGGACACACUGACACUGAAUAACGGGUCAG
rnacentral:rRNA from 1 species